CUUUGGAGAGGAUGCUUCUGGCGCGGCGCCGUCCGAGUUCCUUGGAACAGGACGCCGGAGAGGGUGAGAGCCCCGUACGGACGGACGCCUAGCCUCUACGAAGCUCCUUCGACGAGUCGAGUAGUUUGGGAAUGCUGCUCAAAAUGGGAGGUAAAUUUCUUCUAAAGCUAAAUACCGGCCAGAGACCGAUAGCGCACAAGUAGAGUGAUCGAAAGAUGAAAAGCACUUUGAAAAGAGGGUUAAACAGUACGUGAAAUUGUUGAAAGGGAAGCGCCUGUGACCAGACUUGCGCCCCGCGGACCACCCGGCGUUCUCGCCGGGGCACGCCGCGGGGCGCAGGCCAGCAUCGGUUCUGUCCAGGGGGAGAAAGGCCGCGGGAACGUAGCUCCUCCGGGAGUGUUAUAGCCCGCGGCGCCAUGCCCCUGGGGGGACCGAGGACCGCGCUUCGGCAAGGAUGCUGGCGUAAUGGUCACCGGCGACCCGUCUUGAAACACGGACCAAGGAGUCAAGCAUUGGGGCGAGUGUCUGGGUGGAAAACCCGCACGCGCAAUGAAAGUAAACGCAGGUGAGAGCUUCGGCGCAUCAUCGACCGAUCCUGAAGUCCUCGGAUGGAUUUGAGUAGGAGCCCCAGCGCUUGGACCCGAAAGAUGGUGAACUAUGCCUGUAUAGGGUGAAGCCAGAGGAAACUCUGGUGGAGG
rnacentral:rRNA from 1 species